rnacentral:rRNA from 1 species
CAGCAGCCGCGGUAAUACGUAGGUGGCAAGCGUUGUCCGGAAUUAUUGGGCGUAAAGGGCUCGCAGGCGGUUUCUUAAGUCUGAUGUGAAAGCCCCCGGCUCAACCGGGGAGGGUCAUUGGAAACUGGGAAACUUGAGUGCAGAAGAGGAGAGUGGAAUUCCACGUGUAGCGGUGAAAUGCGUAGAGAUGUGGAGGAACACCAGUGGCGAAGGCGACUCUCUGGUCUGUAACUGACGCUGAGGAGCGAAAGCGUGGGGAGCGAACAGGAUUAGAUACCCGCGUAGUCCCUGUCUCUUAUAA